CCUACGGGUGGCAGCAGUGGGGAAUAUUGGACAAUGGGCGAAAGCCUGAUCCAGCCAUGCCGCGUGUGUGAAGAAGGCCUUCGGGUUGUAAAGCACUUUCAGUGGGGAAGAAAGCCUUGGGGCUAAUACCCUCGAGGAAGGACAUCACCCACAGAAGAAGCACCGGCUAACUCCGUGCCAGCAGCCGCGGUAAUACGGAGGGUGCGAGCGUUAAUCGGAAUUACUGGGCGUAAAGCGCGCGUAGGCGGUCUGAUAAGCCGGUUGUGAAAGCCCCGGGCUCAACCUGGGAACGGCAUCCGGAACUGUCAGGCUAGAGUGCAGGAGAGGGAGGUAGAAUUCCCGGUGUAGCGGUGAAAUGCGUAGAGAUCGGGAGGAAUACCAGUGGCGAAGGCGGCCUUCUGGACUGACACUGACGCUGAGGUGCGAAAGCGUGGGUAGCAAACAGGAUUAGAUACCCGAGUAGUC
rnacentral:rRNA from 1 species